AGAGUUUGAUCAUGGCUCAGAACGAACGCUGGCGGCAUGCCUAGCACAUGCAAGUCGAACGCGUGGUUUCGGCCACGAGUGGCGCACGGGUGAGUAACGCGUGGGAACCUGCCCUGGGGUGGGGGAUAACCCGGCGAAAGCCGGGCUAAUACCGCAUACGUCCUGAGGGAGAAAGAUUUAUCGCCCUGGGAGGGGCCCGCGUCGGAUUAGGUAGUUGGUGGGGUAAUGGCCUACCAAGCCUGCGAUCCGUAGCUGGUCUGAGAGGAUGAUCAGCCACACUGGGACUGAGACACGGCCCAGACUCCUACGGGAGGCAGCAGUGGGGAAUAUUGGACAAUGGGGGCAACCCUGAUCCAGCAAUGCCGCGUGGGUGAUGAAGGCCUUAGGGUUGUAAAGCCCUUUUGGCGGGGACGAUGAUGACGGUACCCGCAGAAGAAGCCCCGGCUAACUUCGUGCCAGCAGCCGCGGUAAUACGAAGGGGGCUAGCGUUGUUCGGAAUUACUGGGCGUAAAGGGCGCGCAGGCGGCCUUGGAAGUUGGGCGUGAAAGCCCCGGGCUCAACCCGGGAAUAGCGUUCGAUACUCCGAGGCUAGAGUUCGGGAGAGGAGGGUGGAAUUCCCAGUGUAGAGGUGAAAUUCGUAGAUAUUGGGAAGAACACCGGUGGCGAAGGCGGCUCUCUGGACCGAUACUGACGCUGAGGCGCGAAAGCGUGGGGAGCAAACAGGAUUAGAUACCCCCGUAGUCC
rnacentral:rRNA from 1 species